rnacentral:rRNA from 1 species
AUACGUAGGGUGCGAGCGUUGUCCGGAAUUACUGGGCGUAAAGAGCUCGUAGGUGGUUUGUCGCGUCGUCUGUGAAAUUCCGGGGCUUAACUCGGGGCGUGCAGGCGAUACGGGCAUAACUUGAGUACUGUAGGGGAGACUGGAACUCCUGGUGUGGCGGUGAAAGGCGCAGAUAUCAGGAGGAACACCGGUGGCGAAGGCGGGUCUCUGGGCAGUAACUGACGCUGAGGAGCGAAAGCAUGGGUAGCGAACAGGAUUAGAUACCCUGGUAGUCCAUGCCGUAAACGGUGGGCGCUAGGUGUAGGGGUCUUCCACGACUUCUGUGCCGUAGCUAACGCAUUAAGCGCCCCGCCUGGGGAGUACGGCCGCAAGGCUAAAACUCAAAUGAAUUGACGGGG